CUUGCUCCCUGAUGUUACGGCGGCGGGUGAGUACACGUGGGUACCUGCCUGUAAGACUGGGAUAACUCCGGGAAACCGGGGCUAAUACCGGAUGGUUGUCUGAACCGCAUGGUUCAGACAUAAAAGGUGGCUUCGGCUACCACUUACAGAUGGACCCGCGGCGCAUUAGCUAGUUGGUGAGGUAACGGCUCACCAAGGCGACGAUGCGUAGCCGACCUGAGAGGGUGAUCGGCCACACUGGGACUGAGACACGGCCCAGACUCCUACGGGAGGCAGCAGUAGGGAAUCUUCCGCAAUGGACGAAAGUCUGACGGAGCAACGCCGCGUGAGUGAUGAAGGUUUUCGGAUCGUAAAGCUCUGUUGUUAGGGAAGAACAAGUGCCGUUCAAAUAGGGCGGCACCUUGACGGUACCUAACCAGAAAGCCACGGCUAACUACGUGCCAGCACCGCGGUAAUACGUAGGUGGCAAAC
rnacentral:rRNA from 1 species